CGGAAUGACGCCACCUCUCGCUCCGCCCCGGCGCAAACUCGCUCUUUGCGUUCAUUUCAUUCCUCUUCUCAUUCCGAGCAUUCUUCACAUCUCUGUCAGUGCGCGAAGCGAUUCACCUACACCUUCCUGGCUGGCUCAGAAACACCAGAAUAACUUGACAUAGUAGUAAAAAUACCCAGUAACAUCACAUUACCAAAAGAAAGCGACAUUUUUAUAUGAGAUAUCAAUAACGAGUUGGCUCAGCCGGGAGUUGUUGGAGAUUUCACCGAAGCAUUUUCGGACCACCGCGAAGAAAACGCUGGAGAGACUUGUUGCUUCAACACGUUUGACGGUGCCUUUAAAAAAAAUUUUUUUUUUUUAAAAUCGCCAUCGAAGUUUUGUGUCUCUCCCUAGUCUGCUCCAGGCUUCAGCUUGGAGAGUCCAACCGCCACGAUUGAUCCCAGCAGCUGGAGCGGCAGCGAGAGCCCUGCCGAGGACCUGGAGAGGAUGAGCGACUCGGCAGACAAGCCUGUAGACAAUGAUGCUGAGGGGGUGUGGAGCCCUGACAUUGAACAGAGCUUCCAGGAGGCCCUGGCUAUCUAUCCUCCUUGUGGACGCAGGAAGAUAAUCCUCUCUGAUGAGGGAAAGAUGUAUGAAAGAGCCUGUCCCAGGAUCCUUGGAGAAAGGAUGCUGAGGGCCAAAUUGGAUUUCUGACUGAAUGAGGAAUCAGCUACUUGCGGAUGGUCUAGAGAAAACUGAGCCACCGCCUCUUUGUGGGGCUGCUGCUGGAGUGCCAUUCAUAUGUCACAGAUCUUCCGGAGUCAUUGAGAUUCAGAAGAGAGUUCACUCUGGCCAGGUGGAGGGUUCCUCCAGUUGCUGAACCACACAAAUCCGCUCAGGGGUCACACUAUAAAUAUGUAAUCCUUUUCCUGCUGUUUUGAGUGACAGGAAGACUCCAUAAAGAG